rnacentral:misc_RNA from 1 species
GAUGAAGAACGUAGCGAAAUGCGAUAAGUAAUGUGAAUUGCAGAAUUAAGUGAAUCAUCGAAUCUUUGAACGCACAUUGCGCCCGCCAGUAUUCUGGCGGGCAUGCCUGUUCGAGCGUCAUUUCAACCCUCAAGCACAGCUUGGUGUUGGGACUCGCGUUAAUUCGCGUUCCCCAAAUUGAUUGGCGGUCACGUCGAGCUUCCAUAGCGUAGUAGUAAAACCCUCGUUACUGGUAAUCGUCGCGGCCACGCCGUUAAACCCCAACUUCUGAAUGUUGACCUCGGAUCAGGUAGGAAUACCCGCUGAACUUAAGCAUAUCAAUAAGCGGAGGA